rnacentral:rRNA from 1 species
AUUGAACGCUGGCGGCAGGCCUAACACAUGCAAGUCGAGCGGAUGAAGGGAGCUUGCUCCUGGAUUCAGCGGCGGGCGGGUGAGUAAUGCCUAGGAAUCUGCCUGGUAGUGGGGGAUAACGUCCGGAAACGGGCGCUAAUACCGCAUACGUCCUGAGGGAGAAAGUGGGGGAUCUUCGGACCUCACGCUAUCAGAUGAGCCUAGGUCGGAUUAGCUAGUUGGUGGGGUAAAGGCCUACCAAGGCGACGAUCCGUAACUGGUCUGAGGGGAUGAUCAGUCACACUGGAACUGAGACACGGUCCAGACUCCUACGGGAGGCAGCAGUGGGGAAUAUUGGACAAUGGGCGAAAGCCUGAUCCAGCCAUGCCGCGUGUGUGAAGAAGGUCUUCGGAUUGUAAAGCACUUUAAGUUGGGAGGAAGGGCAGUAAGUUAAUACCUUGCUGUUUUGACGUUACCAGCAGAAUAAGCACCGGCUAACUUCGUG